rnacentral:lncRNA from 1 species
AUUUGGAGAUGGGGGAGGGGUAUAUGGGAGGGUUUGGCAAAAGUAAAGAGAGAAAUGUAAUUAUAAUCGAAAUUAAAGAAAGAGAGAAAGAAAGAAAGAAAGAAAGAAAGAGAGAGAGAGAGAGAGAGAGAAAGGAAGGAAGGAAGGAAGGAAGGAAGGAAGGAAGGAAGGAAGGAAGGAAGAAAGAAAAGAAAGGAAGGAAGAGGAAGAAUAUGAGAGAGAGAGGGAGGGAGAGAGAGAGAGAGAGAGAAGAAAGACUGAAGGGGGAAAAGUCACCAGCUCACCUACAAAGGCAAAAGCAUCAGCAUUCCUUCAAGCCAAGAAAGCACAAAAUGGAAUUUUUCCAUUGCUGAAACUACUAACUGCCAGCCAAGACUGCUAGAUCCCGCAAAGCUACCAGCAAUCAGGACAUUUCAAGACAAGCACUGCCGGAAGCCGCUCGCCUCCACCUCACCAGAACAGCAGAAGACAUGUAAUAAAAGCUACUGCAGAAAGCGGGAGACAGGAUCAGGAUGAUGUGACCUACAAAGGUACUCGCAUUUUAAAUUAAACAAGUUUCAUAAUCGAGACCUUUUUCCAGCUGAGUCUGAUAGUUCACACCUAUGAUUCCAGGACUUGGGAGGCUGAAGCAGGAGGAUCAAGGUUAGCCUGGACACUGUCUCAAAAAUAAAACUUGAAGCCACUUUCAAGAAGACAAGUAAAAUAAGACAUUGCUGUGUAGGGAGGUGAAGGGGUGUGGCCAUUGCUGUGUAGGGAGGUGAAGGGGUGUGGCCAUUGCUGUGUAGGGAGGUGAGGGGGUGUGGCCAUUGCUGUGUAAGGAGGUGAGGGGGUGUGGCCAUUGCUGUGUAAAGAGGUGAAGGGGUGUGGUCAUUGCUGUGUAAAGAGGUGAAGGGGUGUGGUCAUUGCUGUGUAAGGAGGUGAAGGGGUGUGGUCAUUGCUAUGUAAGGAGGUGAAGGGGUGGCCAUUGCUGUGUAAGGAGGUGAAGGGAUGUGGCCAUUGCUGUGUAAGGAGGUGAAGGGGUGUGGCCAUUGCUGUGUAAGGUGGUGAAGGGGUGUGGCCAUUGCUGUGUAAGGAGGUAAAGGGGUGUGGCAGGGUGCAGAGAAGAUUUUUUUUUUAUUUUAAUCUUGUAUGGUUUUGGAAUCUACAAUCUAGAGAGACCCAGCACACAUCCCAGGGCAGUUCUAAAAAAUAAGUUUUAAUGAUGAUUGUCAAAACAUGAGUUCAUUAGACAUGGUCCCUGGGGCCCUGCUUUGGCAGGAAAAGAGAAUUAAGCUUCUGUUUUAAAAGGUCACUCUUAGCAGGGUGUGAUGAAGCAAGCCUUUAAUCCCAGUUCACCGGAGGUAGACAGGCGGAUCCCUGAGUUCGAGGCCAGCUGGGUCUAUAGAGCAGAGUUCCAGGACAACCAGGGCUACACAGAGAAACCUUGUCUUGGAAAAACAAAACAAGCAAAACAACAACAGCAGAAAGUCACUUUUAACCAGCCCUGGAAGCGAACGGCCGCGGUCACAUCAGCCGAAUCCUCUGUGUCUAUGGCAACGGACAUUCUGAGCCCUGAUUAACCAUAGAUCCAGGACGACUGCAUUAGUCUCCGCACAGCUACAAAUACAUGAGAACCAAGCAGCAAGCUACAUGUUCUUUGAGGAAAUCUGACCCUUUCCAGGGAACACAAUCAGUCAGAGCUGCUGUUAAGCCUUUUUGCUAAGGGAGCUAUCCCCACCCGCCUUCCAUUCCCGUGUUGUUUGCAAAUCAGAGCAAAGACAGUAAAGCGUAAUAAUGGCAUUGAGUUUGGAAUAUUAUUUUUAAUUUAUUACUUUACUUUUGUACACACCACACACACACACACACACCAUGAUGUGUCGGUCCUCUGGAGUUCUUCCACCCUGUUAGGCAGGGUCUCUCAUGUUUCUGCUGCUGC